rnacentral:RNase_P_RNA from 1 species
AGUCGGACAGGUGAUCGCGGCUGCAAGUGCCGAAAGGCCGCAGGUGAGGAAAGUCCGGGCUUCACAGGGCAGGGUGCCGGAUAACGUCCGGUGGAGGCGACUCCCAGACAAGUGCAACAGAAAUAAACCGCCAGAUUCUCUGGUAAGGGUGGAAAGGUGAGGUAAGAGCUCACCGCUUGGCUGGUAACAGGCAAGGCUCUGUAAACUCCACUCGAAGCAAGACCGAACAGAAAGCGUUACAGUUGCCCGCUGUGCUUUCGGGUAGGUUGCUCGAACCGAUUGGUAACAGUCGGUCUAGAUAGAUGAUCACUCAACGACAUAACCCGGCUUAUCGUCCGACUCA